UCUACCAUGGUCACGGCCACUCGCACGAGGAGCCGCACCACGGCCACUCGCACGAGGGGCUCUACCAUGGUCAC
rnacentral:pre_miRNA from 1 species